AUGCCAGACGGGUCUUUCCAACUCCCUCCUGCCUGUUCUGCCGGCCUCCAAGUAAUUUUUGGCAGUGGCCGGCCUGCGGCCGUGGUGCCACUUGCAGCUCAGGCGUCCCCAAGGCCAGCAGAGGCGGCGCUCCGCGCUGUCCGGGACAGACACCCCGCGGAAGACGCGGCCGGCAGCGGGGCGGGCUCGCUCCCCGGCGGGGUCGGGAGAAAGCACCCCCUGCCCCGUCCUCCGCCCAGGCUGAACUCCCGGCGUCGGUUUUCGGAAGGAGAAAGGAGAGAUUCAGGAGAGAAGCUCACCGAGUGCAACAGGUCGCUUCAGCUGCUCCCGGGACCUCAUGAAACCAAGUACCCCUUCCCUGUCCUUCCUCCUCUGGCUCCCCUGGUCGCGAUUUGCUCUGGGAUACGCUUUGAAGGGAGAUGCGAGACGUCCCGCUUGGACAAGACGCGGAGCCGUCGCCCCUGCUCAGCCUCUGCAGAGGAACAGGAGGAGAAGGAGCAGAGGAUGAGGAUGCCGUGUCCCUAAGUUACGGCACUGUGGUACCUUUCCGCGCGUCUCUUCCAUUCCCUCUCACACCCCACACCCCCUUUUGAGACCCCCUUUGCCACCGGCCAUGUGUGUGAAUUCCCAGUGUUCUCAGGAGGCUGACCAGUUUGGAAAUCAGCAAAUAAAUACUUAAAAAUGCAUACA
rnacentral:lncRNA from 1 species